rnacentral:rRNA from 1 species
AACGAACGCUGGCGGCAGGCCUAACACAUGCAAGUCGAACGCCCUAGCAAUAGGGAGUGGCAGACGGGUGAGUAACGCGUGGGAACGUACCCUUCGGUUCGGAAUAACCCAGGGAAACUUGGACUAAUACCGGAUACGUGCGAGAGCAGAAAGAUUUAUCGCCGAAGGAUCGGCCCGCGUCCGAUUAGCUAGUUGGUGAGGUAAUGGCUCACCAAGGCGACGAUCGGUAGCUGGUCNGAGAGGAUGA